UUCAUUUGGACAUUAUCUCUUACCAUAGGGCGUUGGAGGAGACACUGGGAAGGCCGGAGUUGGAGGGACGAUGUCGGAGGUAUCCACUUGUCCCCGAUAGUCCACACUGUUGGUUUUGGAGAGAUGGCCAUGCUAUGAAGAAAGAGGAAAGAAGGGGAAUAAGUGAAGAAAGUCAAGAACAGGAUUUUUUCAAAGUCUUAAGAGGCGCCGUCCCACUGGACAAGAGAGGGAGUAAAUCCAUCAUAUGUGCCAGCAGGGUGAAGAGAAACAGCGAAGAUGUGGCAGCGCUCAAAAGUCCAGAAGCCAGGCAUCAUCAGUGUGAAAUAUUGAGGUUCAACAUCUCAGAGGUAGGACAAAGCUGUUCUUUUGCAAGUCAGGCAAAGUCCAAGGGUUACGCUUUGGAACACAGUGCCCACUGAAAGUAGAUACUAAGAAAUUGUUUAAAACCAAUUUUUACUUUGUCUCCUGUACUAUGCUUUAUUCACUGGUGAUGUGCAAAGCAGUUCUUUUCAAAAAGUAAAGAACUGAAAUACUGGAAUGAGUGAAUUCAUGAAAAAGAUUUUUUCCAUCAAGUUGUUCAGUGUCUGACUUCGUAGUCCCAGUCACUACACUAAAACAUGGCCGAAUGGUAAAUAUCAUGAUACUCUACUUCUAGGACCACAGGUGCCAAGUAAACACAGUUUUGUUUAUAUUUCUUGAUAUUUUGAAAGAUGAACAUCCAUUGUGACUGUUUGGUCUUUUAAGUGAUCUACAGUUUUGCAUUAUUCUUGAUCUUGCUGGACUGGAUUUGUUCUUUUGAGGAAAUCAUUUGCAGAUGAAACAACAGUAUUAUCUAUAUCAUACUGUUAUAUUAUUGUAGCAGUUUUAAAUAUACUCUUCGAAGGAACAACGUACAGAAAUAACUGAAACUGUCAGGAUUGAUGGAGAAUUGGUGGUGAACUUAAGUCACGUCUUCCUGUUAUUGUUUAAUCAGAAGUUAUACGGUGACUUUUGGGCCUGAAUUUGUGAUAAAUUUGAUCUCCUUCUUCUUUUAUAGGCUGACAUACAUAAAAUAGAAAAUUAGUGACUUUACAGUAUUUCUCGGUGUUCAACAUUCCUGACUGAGCCUUUCUGUAGAUUUGUGAGUCAAUUGUGUUUUGGUAGUGUUUCACUGGGGCAAGAGGUCACAUACUUUCCUUGUGCAACCUUUUCUUCCAACUCUGUAUAUUUCCAUUUAAACUGUGACAGACUGGAGAGUAAACACAUCAUUGUGUAGCGAGCUGAGGUCCUGAUUUUACACUGCUUACAUUGCAAGGAUACUCACUACCUGUUUAAUUAAACGCUUCCACCCUUUGAGCAAACAGCAUGCACACUUACAAACACACCUCCUGUCACAAUCACAGAUGUAUUCCUCUCUCGGGUGGAGAUUUCCACGAUCAGGUGGUGCUUCAGUCCUGCAGUCACGGUUAUAAAUGGUGCUCUGUAUUUGCGGGUUAAACUGAGUUCCACAAUAUAACAAAUGGGCCCACAAGCUUCAUCUACCCAUGAGCAUGUUGGCACAGGUGUUUUCUGCUUACUGUGGCAUGCUGUUAGAAUUCUCCGUGGAAGAUGAUCAGUUCACCCAAUACACAUUCACUUUCAGUCACAGCAGUAUCUAGCAAUUCAAAUUUUUAACUGCUUUUUAACUGCUCACACUGUCAUUCCAAUACAAUGGAGCUGAAUGGUAUUCUGUAAUUUUUUGACAUAUACAGUAGUACUCAUCACACUUGGCUGUGAAAGAUUUUAGAUCCCCAAAGUUUUUAUAGUUUAUUCUUUAGGGAACAGGAAUAUUUGUACUGAAUUUCACAGAAAUCCACCCAGUGAAACAUGAAUGUCCACCUCAUAGUGGCGUUAGAGAGAAAGGUCAGGGAAUCACCAAAGUCUGUAGGCUUCCUAACCUCUGAGGAAUGUCAGUCCAUUUAAAAAAAUCAAGGUGGUGGGCCAGCUGUUAGACCAACAUCCACAGAGUGACGCUGCUAACAGGGCUACAAAAACUCUUUUUAAAAUUUCAUGUUUUUUUUGACUGUUAUUAUCUACCGGUAUUAGUUUGCCAUAGAUAUAUCGAUCAGAUAUACGGCAAUAUGAACAAUUUAUUUAAUACAACAUAUUAUGGAGAAAGAUGCUUGUGGUAAAUUAGAAACUGAGUCAUUUAGUUUGUCUAGCUAAGUGUUCAACUUCAUUGUUUACAAUACUCUCCACUGUGUCUGCAGCAUAUGUAGUAGAGUAUGUAGGACAACAGAACAGAUGUCAGACUUCAUUUUUAAAUUAGAUAGUUUGUAAAAUAUGUUGCUGGAAAACUAAUAAACAAUGAUCCAAUAAUUUUUCAUCCAUUUCAAAAUACUGUAACAUUAACUUACAUAGUCAAAGUAGUGAUAUACGCUAUCGUUCAAAAAAUUGGUGUCACUUAAAAAUGUCCUUACUUUUGAAAGAAAACAGUUUUUUCAAUGAAGAUAACAUUAACAUUGUGUUAGCUAAUGGUGUUGAAAGGCUAAUUGAUGACUAGAAAACCAUUGUGCAAUUAUGUUAGCACAUGAAUAAAAGUGUGAGUUUUCAUAGAAAACAUGAAAUUGUCUGGGUGACCCCAAACUGUUGAACGGUAGUGUAGAUAUCACUAUACUAAUAUCAAUCAAGCUUUUAUUGUGACACAUCUUUUCCAUAUACUGUGAUUGGUCUCACCUGACAGAUGGGUUUUUCCCUUGUGGCUGAGGCCGUUGGUUUGUAGGGAGGCAGAGCGGGACAAGGGGACACAGCGGGUAGGAACAGGAACAAAGGUAGGGUCCAAAUCCAGAAUCAGCUGGUUCAGCUGCUCUAUGGACUCAUCGAUGUCUGUGGUUAAUGACUCCAGUUCAUCUUCUUGACAAGGUGAAGUGUGUGUGGUCUUUGUGGGCUGUGUGUUGUGUCUAUUAUCUGUGACAUUAUGCGCAUCGUCCUCGUCCACCAGCCCUCUCUGAACUGCUUCCCUGCUGCUCAAUCCUCGAGGAGGUGUGUCAGGAGCAACCAGAGGUGGCGGCCUCUUUUUAUUUGCCACCAAUGAUGCCCCUGCUCCGUCCCCUACAAGCAAAUUAUCAGUGACAAUAUCUGCCAUCUGCUGCUGCUGUACCCAGGAGUGUGUGGAGUACUCGGUUCGGGCUGGUCUCUGACUUUCAGGUAGAUUUUCAGAUGAGAGGGAGCCAAUACUACUUGAGCUCAGCAUAUCCAUAGCAGGAACUGCCACAUCAUCUACUUCAUCCUCAUCAUCCAGUAUGUCCGUCUCUCUCUCACUUGCCUCUCCAUUGGUAGUGUGUCCCAGUCCAGACUCAUCUCCAGCUAUCUCCCCCUCCCCUCCACCGGACGAAGCAAGCUCAGUCAUGACCUCCAGAAGAGGCUGAGUAAGCUCAAAGUCCACCCCAGAAACCAGCUUCUCGGCCUGGGUACAGUUGUCCUGUGUGGUCCCUCUCCUCUGUCUGGCUCCGGUCAGCCCCUGUGAAGCAACAGACAGACCUGAGUCGCUGCUGGCAGACGGAGUUCGGUCACUGCAGCUGGGACUGCUGGUGCUUAAAGGGAAUGAAGCUCCUUCCUCACUACUCUUCUUCCUCACUCUAGUGUAAAAACUGCCAUUUCUAGGGUCCAGGACAUGCGGAGGAGCUGGAAGGAGACAAAAGUACUUCAUUUUAUUUGAGUGUAAACAGAUGAAAAUGUAGCCAACUGAUUUUUUUAAAGAACAAUAUAAUAAAAUAUAUUCAUAGACAGAUAUUAUAUUGUGAUAUUUCCAUUUUUAGUUAAGUCAAAACUGGCUUGUUGUUUUUAAAUUCUGAAGCUUUGAAUUAGAAUUGUAUAAUAAUUUCACAUUUUACCUGUAAAUCAAAAAAAAUACACCAAAUAUAAGGAUAGUAAAAUAUUCUCUGCAGAGCCCAUGGUGACAUAUUAAAAUAAAUUUUUAUUCAGAGCAAUGGCCCAAAAUUCAAAAAUAUUAAAUUUACAAAGAAAAUUAGCAAAUGUUUACAUUUGAGAAGCACCAACCAGAUAACGUUUUACAUUUCUACUUUUAAAAAAUCUUAAAAGAUUAAUCAAUUUUCUAAAUGACUGCCGAUCAAUGUUUUAUUGACCACCUGGUUAUGUGACUCAUCAAUUUGGCUGAAACAGAAAUGAAACUUAACUUUAACAAAAGUAUGCAGCGCUUUACCUAUUCAGGUGUACCGUAUCUAUUGUUAAAAUCUACAGUCCAGAGUAUAAUAUAUUCACAUUGUCACUGCUUAAUCCAAAAUGACAAUGACAUAUGAUCCCUUUUGUAAUUUGGUCCACCAGCUUAACAAAACACAGGAAAAUGCAGACUGCAGAGCAUGUUGAUGAAUUUAAUUGUAUUUUGUGUCCAACCAAAAGUUUGGAACCUAAAAAUAUUCAGUGUACAUUCAAGAGAGUAAGUAAUUUCAGAUGCUGAAAAAGGGGGGAAAGGGGGCAGUUUUGCUUGAAAAGGGGGUUAAACUGUUAAUCAGUUAUCAAAACUGUCACCUAACUGAUUAACCAGCCAAUCGUUUUAGCUUGACCAAAAAUUCUUUCCUAAAAUCCCACAAAGGAUCCAGCCGUUCAACUGAUCAGAAAUGUAUGAUCUUUUGUUGGUAUUUAAAUCUAUAGCAUUGUUUUAGGGAAGUAUAAUGAUGGUACAUUUGCUUGAAAUAUAAAUCUAAAUUAUAGCUGCAACUAACGCUUAUUUUCCUGAGCAGUAGAUCGACCAGUUGUUUUAUCAUGAAUCAAAUAAAUUUUGAUCUACAAGAGUGAAGAAAUAGUCAUUGAUCAUCUUCACAGACCAUUUUUUGUGUGAACAUUGAUCCAAAAUAUAUAUUAACUGGUUUUGGUGUACUAAAACUUGAAAACAUUUUAUAUUUUUGCCCUUAAAAAGGACUCACAUCAUUCAUCAUUUAUAAAAUGAGUCAUAGAUUUUCUAACAAAACAAAAAGUCACACUUUUGAAAGUUAUCAUUAAUUGCUGUCUUCUCUCAUCAGCUGCCCGAUCAGACGACGCUGUUCAGAGAGUUUAGAGUCUAAAAGUUAAACUAAAAGCUGAAAAUUCCACCUUCGUAUUGAACAUGUGACUCCAUACCUGCAGCACUACUGUAUAUGAUUCAUUACUCCAGACACACUCCAUGGAGAUAACACAGAGCCCCUUUGUGUUUGCUGGCGGAUGCAUACGUGUGUGACACGCAAAGGACGUGUCUGGCAGAGACAGAGUCUACCUGAGGUCAGAUAUAGUCGACUGCAUGUUCACGCACACAGCUUAUACAACAACAAGAGAAGAUAUUUAUAAAUCUUACACCAAGCUGAAGACAAACUAAAGGUGAAACGGUUAAUUGACAGGAAUUAUUCAGCAACUUUUUCUGGAAAACCUGCCGCAUAUCACCUAAAUCUUGCCUCUGAAUUGUAAGGAUUUGCUGCAUUUUUCUUGUAUUAAUGACAGCAAAUUUAAUAUAUUUGGGUUUGGGACUUAUUUCUUGUACAAAAUAAUAAAAAUUUGUUUCAUUUGCACUCCAAAAACUUGCAAAGUGAAAGAGCAAGAGGAAGUUCUUUUUCAGUGAAGGUUAUCACAUUGAGAUAAGAUAAGAGUGCCUCGUACAGUGACUGCAACAAUGCAUACAGUGCAUACCAGAGCUGUGUGAGCACAGCCGCUCAAGUCCAGAGAGGCAGUAAAACUCAAAUACCAGACAUGCAUGGUAAAACCUCACAGCUGGUCUAAUAGGUCUCUCACACAGAGAUGCAGAGUGUACAAACUGAUAAACACUCUAUAACUGCACAGUGAACACAACUUCAGCAGUUCAAUGAAACAAAAGCAGCUUACUUUACCCGCAGCCAGGAGCAAACGCUCUGUGUCCCCACUGCAGACUAGAAACAGGAUGGAAAUGUUUUGCUGAAGCCUCCCUUUGGAGUCAGAGAAAGAGGAAAAGAGAAACAGAUGACCAGCAGAAAGGAAGGAGAGGCAAGGACGAGCACAGAAUGAAAAGGAUGAGAGUGAAAGCAGAUUAAAAAGAUUCAGACCGGCUUCUCUUUCCCUUCCUGUGUUGUCGUCCUCUCUGCCUCUCAAGCUGCCGUAGGAAGACAAGCGAGGAACAUUCUUUCUCUUAAGGUGCUAACAGCUCUCUGGUGUCCCCCCUCCUACUCUCUCUUUCCCCUCUCUAAUGUCACUGCUGCGCUUCUCUGUCUCUGCACUAUGAAUCCCCGCCUUCACCGUCAACACGAAAUUAGCCCAACUUUGCCUCCCUUGCUUUUCCCUCCCCCCUGCAUCCUGUCCCAGCUGACACAGGUAGGCAACACAGUGGGGAGAGAGUGUGUGCACUCAUGCAUUUUCAUGCCAAAGGGGGAAGCAGGAUGGAAAGGAAACUGAAGGGUGGAUCAUUCACUAGAUUUGCAAGUACAUACACACAUACACACACACACACACACACACACACACACACACACACACACACACACACACACACACAGGUGGAAGAGUGUGUGCAGCACACAUAAUGCACUUUCAAGGAAAAAAAACACAAAGCACAAGGACGUUGAGCUGGCCAAAUAUGGAGAGGGGAAUGUAAACAUGGAGGCGGGCUCUAGAGAUUGUGUGCAGAAGGGGGAUGGGGACAUAUUGGACAAAUUGCAACCUGAAAACUUGAACCUGAAAGCAGCGCACAGAGCUGGAAAGAGGGAGACAGGAGAGGAGAUAAAGGGGGGGGGGAGAAGAAAGGGAGAGAGUAAAAGAAGAUGGGGAGAUGGAGUGAUAGAAGCAGCACAGGGGAGGGGUGUGAGAGGGUAAAGUAGAACCACCUGUGGUUGAAAACAACAUUCUUGCGAGCGGCUGCAUUGCUAACUGGCUGGCACCCUCAUUAUGCUCAUGUGCAUGCGUGUGUGCUGGCGGUUAAACGUAAUGGCCAUGUGUGCUUGCAUUCAUGUGAGCGUGUGUUUGUGUGUUUACAUGCCACUUUUCCACAUGUCUCCCCCAGUGAACGGUCUAUCCAAAUUACAUGGCUGGCCGGGGCAGAUUUAGCAAUGGCAUAAAACAUCUGGAACUGCAACCUCAACUGCCGCUUAAAGUGAUUGUUUCAGUUGUCUGGAUGUGUGUUCUUGUGUUGGUGUUUUUCUGUGUGUGAAGGGUUAUUCUAACUAAAUGGAAACUUCUUGAAAAACAGCCGCCUCCAAAUACCCAGGUCUGGUCUGGCUGCUGUCUAGAUGAUUGUCGUUACACCCAUUCCCAGGAACGUCAAAGAGGCCUUUGUGACCACAACAGUUGUAAGCUGUCACACUGAUGACUAGGCAAUUACCCACAAGACUGGCCACAACGAAGGCCAUAGUCCAAACAGACAAUCUCAGAGACUGGAUCUGCACCCACAGAGGGAAAUAACUCUGAAUGGUAGCCAGAAAUACAUUAAUGGAUUUUUUUGGCCUCCCAGGCGCAGAAAAAUUCACCAAAAAAGCUCAAAUAAACAAACAGGUGACAAAUUAUCACCUCAUAAAGUUGCUGUGGCUACAAAGCGACACAGUCAUCCAACUGGGGUGGUGUUUGUGUCAACCUGAGGAAUGUAAGUGUGAAUAUCCACUGUACUUUUAGCUCUAUUUUGGUCUCAGGCAACUCCAGGGGACAAAAAUAUCAGCUACAAACUAGUCUAGAACUGUGUCUGAGUCUGGAAAAGGCCAGAAAUACAUGUAGUCACACCAAAACUCAGAGCUAAAACAGGCUAAAGCGCUCUUUAGCAGUGCAGAGUUGGUGAUAAUGCUUUGUGGGUUUAGCACAUGUAGAGAUGGGAUUUUGUGCUGUGUUCUAUUUUAAUUCUUUUUAAAAUUGUCCAUGUUGUUUCUUAGAAAUCACAUACAGUUUUUCCAGACAAUGCUGUUGUGUUACCAUUGCUGUCCAUUCAUUUCGUUGCACCACGUGUAUAAGUUAGCAUCUUGGUACAACUUGGGUGAGUUGCACCCCAGAGCAUCAUCUAACAAGAAAAGCACUCAGAGAGCGCAGUACUCUGCCAAGACUGCUCAGUAAUUGUGUCAUUUCAGACGGAUAAGUCCCGAUAAGUGCGCAGCGGUGGAUUUGUAGUGGCAUCGCAAUCAUGUGAUCAUCAGCAGGCAGCUGAUGUAGUGUUCACUUGUAGUCAGAGAUACAGUGAUGCCAUGCUGCUAUCUCGCAAUGGUACAGAAAUCUUUAACAAAUCCGUGGAUCCAGACUAUAAGCUACAUCACUGCCAAAAUCUAAUCAGUUGGUCCUUGUGUCAUUCCUGACCUUCCUUGAAAAUUUCAUCCAAAUCCGUUUUUGAGUAAUGAUGUGCACAGACAGACAGACAGACAGACAGACAGACAGACAGACAGACAGACAGACAGACAGACAGACAGACAGACAGACAGACAGACAGACAGACAGACAGACGUAUGCCGAUCGUCACAUAACUCCAUUGCGUUCCUUGGCGGAGUAAUUAAUAAGUCUGGUGUCAUCGAGGUGAAAUUACGAUUAAACCAAACCUCCAUAGAUGCUAGAUAGAUAAAGGAUUCUGACUUGUAUUAAAGUAUAUCAGUUAUAACUAGAACAAGUCAAACUAUGUCCAAAAACAUAAAGCUGACUGAGUGUCACUGAACAACAAAAACGCAAAGUCUGCAUUAUCCUGUGCUCCUACAGUAUCUUAUUCAACUGCACCCCACAAGGAAAGCAAAAAAAUAAAAAAAGACAGAUAAAAGAAAAAGAAGGAAGAAAAAGCAAAACAAUAAAUAAUUUAAAAAACAUUUAGAAACCUGUUUGUACCAGUAUUUGACUAGAAAUGUUUGUGGUGGAAAUGAUGGACAGUGGUGUUUAAUAAAAUACAGUGGGAGUCCAGGCAGACUUGACUAACCGUCCCAUGCAGACCUUUUUCUUGCUGUGAAGAUUUAUCUUUUUUGGUCCAGCACCUGCAAUAAUUUUUUCUUGGAUGUGCAUAAUCUUGCAACUUGCCAAGGAGAGAACAUUAGUAAAUGUCCAAACUAUUCUCAUAUGUUGCACAGACUAAAGACAUCUUCUGGAAACACACUUGCUAUGGAAAGGUGGACCCAGCAGCUGAUUCCUUAAUUUUAGAACAAACAAUUGGCUGGCUCCAUCCUAGCAAGACUUCAGUUUUUCCUCUUCUAUAAAAUUGAGUUAUGUAAAUAUGAGCCGGGUUCUGUUCAAGGUUUCUUCCUGUUAAAAGGGACUUUUUUUCUUGCCACUGUCGCCUUAGGGCUGCUCUGGGGGUUCAGGCAUAUGAGUUGUAUCAAGCGUCUUGAGACAAUUUGACCUGUAAUUGGCGCUAUAUAAAUAAAAUUGAAUUGAAUUGAAUUAAAUAACUGUAAGCAAUUGACAAACAUUUUUACUCAUUGGCAAUAUGAAAAUAAUCUAAACAUCAAAAUAAACACAUCAUAAGAAUCAUGGAAUACAGACAAAUCAACUCAUAUUUUCUUACUUACUUACUUACUUAAUGACUUAAAGUCUUGCUAACUUCUAGUAAUUUUUGCUGGAAAUAUCUCAUUUUUCUUUUCAGACCUCUGUAAAAACUGAGCUGUUAUAACUUGAGUCAUUUUGACUUAAAAUGCUGAAUUGAUUGAAUGAAGAGGUAGGAUUUCAAUCAACUCAUUAUGAAGGUUUAUAGGACACAAAACUGGGAUAUAAGCAGACUUCCCAGGAUGCAUUGUUUGAUGGUUAAAACUCCCCACAGACUCAUGUUGUCAUUGUUUUUUUUAAAUACAAGCGAACAAACAUUGUGAAAACUUGUUUAUGUCUUUGAAAAUUUAAGUUAUUGUUUCCUUCCAUAAAAAUUCCAAGCAGUUCUAACCAUGACAAAGGUUCAUACCGAAUUCAGUUCAUGCUUAACUUAUUUUAAGUGUAUCUCAAGGUCAGUUUCACAUUUUCAAGACUUACUAGAUGACACUAAACUAAUUAAUUAACUGAAGUUAAAUCACAUUUUUAAGGCAGCAGGAAACAACUGCUUCUAAGCUGAAUAAACUCAAAAUGAAUGAUUUACACUUCACUAACAAUAAACUGAAUUAAAGUAUCACAGAACAAAAUGUUUUUAUAUCAUGCAAAAAUUAAUUAGUCAAAAAAAAAUGACCAUGUCUUGUUAGAGUAUGUUAGAGUAGAGGAGCGCGUUUAUCUACCAUAAUGGGUCUUAGAUAAAAUCUCUUCCUGUGGAAUCCUGUUAAGUCAGACAUACCACAAGAAUCCCAAAGAGCAGGAAAAGAAAGUGAAAGAAAGAAAACGUAUAUUAGAAUAUAAAGGAUGUGGGGUGAGGUUCCUGAUUAAAAUCAUUAAAGUGGCCCUCACCUGUUUCAAGAGAAGACAUGUCUUGAUAUGAAUCUCGUCUGACUAAAGGGUCCAAGGUGUCAUAGUCCACCGUCACAGAGCGUCCGUUGUGCCACAGCUCUCUGCCUGCACAUGGAAACAACAAAUCAGUGACACAACAAGACACACAAACAGCCACUCGUGUUCAGCUGAUUUUAUUUAACGUGAUUUGAAUAAUAACAUGAGCUUUAUUCUCAGUUUCACAUUGACUUCUCCCUACUUGUCAGUAUUUGUGUGUGUCUGAGGCUGUGUGUUUGUGUUUCCGCCUGUUUGCUUCCCCCUGUGUACAGUAUCAGCAAUCUGAAUUCCUGUGAGAAGUGUGUGCAUGGUAACCCCUCAUAUUGCUUCCUGUUGAGAGGCGAGGAGUGUGGCCAGAGGCGCUCAGGGCCACCUCAGUUGGCCUGGUGUCCAACACUGCCCCCAUCUGGGUGACUGAACUUUUCAUCCAUGAGUAAUGAGCGUGUGUGCUAUGCUUCAGCCUGAGUCACUUCUGUCUCUUCUGCUUCAAUUAAGAGACACAAUGAAGCUUGGUGCAGCACUGUAACACAAACAGUGUGUCUGUGUGGGCGUCUGGGUGUUUGAAACAAGAAAAUGAAAUCUCUAUCUACAAUAUCUGAGCAUAGCAACAGGGGGAUUCUGCAUACAGUUCAUUAUGCAUUUCAAAAUGCGAGUCUUCAACACAAGUUUAAAAAAAACACUACUCUGUCAGUUGCAUACCAUUAAUUUCAAAAUUCUGGGAUCAGGUUUCAAAUUAAAUGCCCACAUUUUUUGCUACAAAUAAAAAUAUCAGCUUAGGUGACAAGUGGGAUCUAGAAGCAGUCCACAAGUUUGUGCAAAACAUGUUUACUGAUUUAGCCAGCAUUAUUCAUUCAUAAGCAGGAUUUUCUUUCAUCCACUGUGAAAUACUGCAAUGUCUUACCCCACUGCAUCUUUUGACUUUUAUGUCCUCUCCAGUAAAGUGGUUUAGAGUUGCUCCUAAUCCUCUAAGAUCACUGCUAGAAGGGCAACUUUUGACAAGACUCUUGGGUUCACUGACUAAAUUCUGUAUCUGUGAUAAAGCUGCUUUUCCAUCUCUUUACCUCUGAAACGAAGCUUGAUGUAUUGAUUUUCUGAUGGUCUGCUCACUUUUGGACUGCCUGAUUGUGCAUAGGAGACAACUGAUCCAGCUUCUUCAAAGUAUUUUAGAGUUUCAUGAACUUCCCUCUCAGAAACAUUCAGUCUAGUCAUGAUUUGAGAAAGCCCUUCUUUGCUCAGAAUAAAAAUCUGAGUUCUGACACAUUACCUUAGUUCUGGUGUUCUCAUGUUUCUAUCUAUAAAAGUGUUACCUUUUGAGCAAUGUUCUGCCAGUAACUUGAGGCACAGAUUUAUGUAUAAGAGGUGAACACUAACUGCGAGUUGAUUUACUCAAACAAGUCUCUAACAAAAAGAUCAAAUCCAUGUGAGUACCAUCGUAACACUGCUUCAAUGGAAGUAUCCAGCAAAAGGAAAUCUGACAGCAGACUAUAACAUCUUUAUUUUACAUAUUGGAACUUCUUACACUUUGAAAUGUUUCUAAUUUUUGACUUUCCUCUUCUUUGCAGGUUUACAUUUUAAGUACAGUAUCAGACUUGUGGACUCCACUAUAUACAAGCUCUGAAAAGUAAAAAAGGUGCAGAAGGUUCUCAGAUUUAUGUGGCAGCUGCACUGUGGUUUAGAUUUUAGUACCGUGGACCACAGAGCAGACCUUCAAACUCUGCAAUGCUUACACAUUAAAAACUCAAUUUUUGGCACUCCAUAAUCUCAGUUUUGAAUAUGCGAUAGUUUCCCUUGAAAUGCAAUGAUUCUAAAGUCCUUAUAUGAUUGGUGGUUUGCAGCAUCUAGCAACUCUGACACACUAAAGCGCAUUUUAUGGCCCAGAGCCCCACAUCUGCACUCUUUUCAGGUAGAUCAGAUGUGUAGUUUGUAUUUGGCAUGAGGGCAAGUCCAAGUAAAGUCUUCAAAGAAAACUGUAUAACCUCAUAAAGUCCUCAAAGUCAUAAUGAAAAAAAUAUGGAACUUUCGUGCCAAUGGUUGUUUGACAAAUCCUAUACUGACAACUGCCAGACCAUCAAUUUUAAUGUGUGAUGAUGUAAAUUAAAAAAAUGAUUUUCUGAGAAGUUUAAUGGAAGUUGUGUAUAAUAUAAGUAGAAAUGGGAAAACGUCAGCUGAAACACUGGAUUCUGGGUAAGCAUCCACCUAAAUCUGUAACAUCUGUAACACAUUUAAGCUUUAUUUUUUGCUCUGUGUAAUUCAUCUUGUAUUUACGUAACUACAAAUUUUAUUAAAAGAUAAAUCAAAGGAACGUUUUUGUGAGUGAGAGUCUACCUGCAAUUUUUUCAGGACUUUCAGAGAGCAGCAGCUCCACUUUUCCAUCUUCUGGGAACCGAGGGUCUAGAAUAUUAGAAGAAAAAUAAGGCAGCCGGGAGGUUAACUUGGCAGAGUGGACGAGUUUCCAUGUGUCCUUCAUACCUGCACAGCUGAUAUGGUUCCAGGCUGAGUUCAGGUAGAUGGAGAGCAGACAGACUGACAGAUUUAUCAGUUACAGAUUAAGAUUGAUCGUACAUGUGGACUGGAGCUGAAACAACAGUUGGCAGUGUGUAGACUGCCACCACGUUAUAAAUACCUUCAUUGGCACAAUCAAGGUCCACCUUUGAGAAAGCAAGGGUGUGUCCUGCGACGAGACCGGUAUGAAACUGGAGACGGAAGACGACCUGACGGCUGGCUGAGCGGCUGUUUUUAUCGUAACAAACCACCUGAAAUCAGAAAAUAAGGACGCAUACCAUUUACAGCUUCAUUUUAUGUGGGUGGGUCUUUUGCUGUAUAGUUUUUUGUGAAUUCAUCUUCUUUAUUUAAUAUUUUUAUUACUUUCCAAGAUAUCAAUAAAAAAAAUUUGACGCUG